ACUCUGAGUAGGUAACAGGUACCAGCUACUGUCAGCAGGGAGGAAGGUAUGUGGUGACCACGAGUCCAGACCUGAGGGUCCUGACCCUCUAAUGCGGCCUCUCACCAGUGUUCGCAGAAACCCACCCGCUGAUUCAAUACGGGGACCAGGAACCUGCCAUGACAGUCACGACUCAGUCUGCCUGCACCUACAUGAUUAAAAAGCUUUAUUGCUCACACAAAGCCUGUUUGGUGGUCUCUUCAUAUGGAUGCGCAUAACAUUUGGUGCCGAAGACCCCGGACAGGGUGACUCCUUCGGGAGAUUGGUCCCCUCUCCUCACCCUCACUCCAUGAGAAGAUCCACCUACGACCUCAGGUCCUCAGACCAGCCCAAGGAACAUCUCACCAAUUUCAAACCGGGCUUCCCUCUUGUCUGGAGGAAAAAGAAAAAAGAGAACCAGACUUAGACACAACUUCUUGUGGGCACAUAUUCAGAAGGCAUCUCACUGGAGAGGGUUUAGUUCUCCUUAGCAGAAGAUAAGAUUUCAAGAUUUCAGCUAAGACUCAUCUCUCUGCAAAUCUUUCUUUUGAGAGCAUCUUCACCAGGAGGAGAUUCCAUCUCAAGAGACCACUUUCACUGCUCAUAUGUAAGAAGCAACUCUUCAUCUGUUCAAGUUUGAUCAUG
rnacentral:lncRNA from 1 species